rnacentral:rRNA from 1 species
UACGUAGGGUGCGAGCGUUGUCCGGAUUUAUUGGGCGUAAAGCGAGCGCAGGUGGUUUAAUAAGUCUGAUGUAAAAGGCAGUGGCUCAACCAUUGUGUGCAUUGGAAACUGUUAGACUUGAGUGCAGUAGAGGAGAGUGGAAUUCCAUGUGUAGCGGUGAAAUGCGUAGAUAUAUGGAGGAACACCGGUGGCGAAAGCGGCUCUCUGGACUGUAACUGACACUGAGGCUCGAAAGCGUGGGUAGCAAACAGG